rnacentral:lncRNA from 1 species
GCCGAUGUGAUGAAUGUGAAAGUGUAUAUAUGUAAUAAGGCCUAAUGGCCGAUGUGAUGAAUGUGAAAGUGUAUAUAUGUGAUAAGGCCUAAUGGCCGAUGUGAUGAAUGUGAAAGUGUAUAUAUGUGACAGGGCCGAGUGGCCAACGUGAUGGAUGUGAAAGUCAAUAAAUGUGAUAAGUCCCGAAGGGCAUUUGUCUCAGUACUAUAUCCGGGUUAAAACCCCGCAGGCUUUAUGCGAGAAUAUUAUCACUGAUUAAUGUCCGUAAGCUUUGUGCUCGUACUAUAUCCGAGCUCUAAAGACCCGAUGACUACGUGUGGGAAUUUUGUCCGGGUAAGACCCGAUAACUUCGUGUGGAGAUUAUGUCCGGGUAAGACUUCGUAAUAAGAAUUGCUUAUAAAUAUAUUCAAUGCGAAAGGUUAAACAGGUAUGUACUCCAAGUUUAUAUGUGAGCUUGAUUUGCACUAAAUCAUAAGGUAGUUAUGUGAUGCAUACGAGAGCAAUCUAUGAGACUAUUCCUAUGAUUAUGUGACAUCGGAUCAGUGUGAGAGGCGAUGUGAAAUCAUACGAUAUAUCUAUGUCACAUUAGCUCACUUUUAUGUGAAAGUUUAUCUGCAUAUUGUAUAUGAUGAGAUGUGCAUAUUCGAUAAAGGGAUGGUAUGCCCGAAGGAAGAGUGAAAUAAAAAUACGAACAACUAUGUUAUAAUUUGAUUGUUAUCUGUUGACACUGUUUAAAACUUACUAAGCAUUGUAAUGCUUACUCCGUUUACUCUGUUUCCUCUGUUUUAUAGAUCUCAUUGCGAAGCUACAGGCUCGGGGAUCGUCAGCAACUAGUCACACUAUCACUAUCCACUGUUUGGUACUGCUAUGUUUCGGAUUAUCUUAUGGCAUGUAUAAAAUAGACUAGUGGCGGAAGAAUAUUUUGGUUAAUGUAUAUAGCCAUGCGAAAAUGGCUUAUAUAUGUUUGAGCAUAAUGUUAUAAUCAUUUGGUAUGGAAUGGUUAAUCACUAUCAUAAUUUGUGCUAUUUAUGCUAAAAGGGCUAGUUGAAUCAUGGAAACUAUGAAAUAGGUAAAGUCUACCUUAAAGGCAGAUGCUGGCAGCAGCAGUGAUGUAGAUUUGGAAAAUCACUAAAAAUAGUAGGAUUGGAAUUAAAUAAUUAAUAAAUUAUGUAAACUAACCUUGAUGAAUCUAUUUUCAUAACAAAGUAACGAAAUGAUCAUAUGGACAGUAUGUUAAGAGAUAUUCAGGUUCUCAUGAGACAGGGCCAGAACAGUUUCUGGAUUCCCUGUUCCAAAUUUGGAAAUUCAUUAUAAAUUAACCAAAGAUAAUUAGGAGUCAUGCCAUAUAUGUAUAGAUUCCUCUCUGAGUCUAGUUUCUAUAGAAACAAACGGAAUCAGUAUUGAAGCUCUGUGCAGGGAGAUAUCCAAGUCGUAAUGCGCAAAGGUCAGUGUAGUUGAUCCCUGUAACAUGGGAGACUUUGACUAAUAAACUGUACUAAUUGGCCCAAUCAAAAAUUCUAGAAAAACAUAUGUAGAUGGGCAUAUGAGUCUAGUUUCAGGGAAAAAUUACGAAACUGAUUUUCGAGUUGUGAAUCUCAAGAUAUGAUUUUUAAGGUGACAGUGUCGCAGUUAGCCAACUGCCUAGAAAAUUUUAAAAUGGACUGCGAUAGUAAGCGAAUUUGGUCUGUGAACCCCUCGUGUCCGACUCCGAAAACGGUCUCGGGUACGGGGUGUUACAAUUUUAUUGGUAUCAUAGCUACGGUUUAGUCGAUUCUAGGACUAACGUAGCACGCGUGAGUCUAUUUAUACAUGCCAUAAAGUGAUAAAAUGAUAGUGUGAUGAUUUUUGGCUAUUAAAAUGUGUUUUCUGUAUUGUAAUGAAUCUUGAUCCCGAUCGAGCUGUAGCAAGCUUCUGACUAUGAGAAUUUGCGAUAUAACUUCAUUUAGAUAUGCCUAAAUUAUUAAGUUGAUCAGGUACGUAUCAUGUACUCGUAUUUGAAUUUCGAUUUGGAUUGAAUUAUAAGGGUAUAAGUGAUGCAAUUUUGAAGGAGUGUUAUGACUAUAAAUGUGAUUUUUGUAUGUGGCUAUGGAACUGGAAGUUGAAUGGUCGAUAAGCAUGUUGUGUUUGUAUUCAAGUAUUGUAAAUGAUAUACUAAUGUGUAUUGCUAUAUGUGUAUAUGUAUGUAGAGACGAAAUUGUCGAAUGUAAAAAGGCAGUGAAGCGUGUAGAGUGGUUGGUUUUCAGCACUAAGUGUGCGGGCAAUAAGUGUUCACGGUUGUGAGAUUGGCACUAAGUGUGCGGGCAAUAAGUGUUCACGGUUGUGAGAUUGGCACUAAGUGUGCGGGCUUGAAAUGCGUGGCACUAAGUGUGCGAGUUUAAAGUACAUGGCACUAAGUGUGCGUGGUUGAUUAUUAAGCACUAUGUGUGCGAACCCACUAUAUAUAUAUAUUUUCUAUCAAUUAUUUAUAUUAAGGGUGCGACCUUACCAAGUCGAUUUCGGACAGCGGAAAGGGGUAAGUUCUUGAGUAAUAGAGCUUAAAUUAUGAUUUGAUUAGAUCAUGUUUUAAGCAAAUCAAAAUCAUGCUCUUUGUGUGUGGCUAUUGAGCCGAAAUUGCAAGAAUGAUAAGUGUCUUGUGUUUGAGUUUUGCUAAUGAAAAUGAAAUACGAAUGUGUCAUGAGUUAUUGUUAAAUGUGCAUGGUUAUUCGAAUGAUGUCCGGGCUAAGUCCCGAAGGCUUUGUGCUAAGUGACCAUAUCCGGACUAAGAUCCGAAGGCAUUGGUGCGAGUUACUAAAUCCGGGCUAAGUCCCGAAGAGCAUUCAUGCUAGUGAUGUAUCCGGGCUAAGUCCCGAAGAGCAUUCGUGCUAGUGAUAUAUCCGUGCUAAAUCCCGAAGAGCAAUCAUGCUGGUGACGUGUAUUCGGGCCUUCGUGCCUAGUAGGCUUCAUGCCUGUAAUUUGAGCAAAGUUUAAGUAUUCAUUACUAUACGAAUUCAAAUUUAAAUGAGAUGAUAUGUUUAAAAGUGUACACACAUGAUGUUUAUAGACUUGGUUAAGUCAUAUCAAUGUGUAUUAAUGAAUGAAUAAGAGCACUAUGUAUGUGAAUAAUUAGAGGCACUGUGUGUGUGCGAAUUCCUUUAACCGAGCACUAUGAGUGCGAGAUCGAUCAAUGGGCACUAAGUGUGUGAAGUGGAAUUCAUGUAAGACCUCGUUUGGGACGAAGGCAUUGAUUUGAGAUAGUGUGUAAGACCAUGUCUGGGACAUGGCAUCGGCUCGAUAUGUGAGAAUAUGUAAGACCAUAUCUAGGAUAUGGCAUUGUAAGAGCUACAUGUGCUAUUGCUGAAUGGACACUAUUUUGUUAAUCUUGUUCAAGAAAUUAUUUUGAUUAAGUUUCGACAUUCGAAAGUUUGAAAGAAUUUUUGAUGAAUGUUGAUAAUUUUGGAUAUACGAGUUAUGCGCUAGAAUAAAUCUCAUGCCAGUGUAUUAUAUUAGGCUUUGUGCCUAUUCGACUGUAUAUGGGUAACGUUAACUAUGAUUGAAUGUGCUAAAUGAACUAAAUGUUCAGGUACGUGGAAGUUGACUUUUCUUUUGGAAAUGAGUUAAGUUGAAUAUUGAGAUGUGAUAAAGUUAUAAAGGAUAUUUAUUGGGAUGUUUGAGUAUAUGUGUACUUUCGGUUAGGUUACAGCUUAUUCAUGAAUGAAAAUGUGGGUUGAUGAUGUGAAUUAUACAUGUUAAUAUGUGCUUAAUAUGUGUUUGAAAUGCAUUUGUGAAUUAAGUUAAGUGAUUAUUGCUUAUGAAAUCAAGAAAAUGAGAUAUUUGUGCAUACCUGUAGAAAUGUUUAUGUAUUUGUUUUAAGAUAAGAAAAUGAUUUUAUAGAUCGAUGCGAAAUCAAUAAUGAAUUACAAUUGCCAUCGAUGAGCUAAUGUUUAUAUGAAUAUAAUUCAAUAAGAGGACGUUAUCCUAAACUAUGCAUCGGUGGAAAUUUUCGGGGACGAAAAUCCCUAAAGGGGGGGAGAGUUGUGACACCCCUAAUUUGACCCUAGUCAGAAAGCGGUUUCGGGACCGCUAAACCGAGUAACCAAAUUAUUUGAACAUGAUAUUUAUUGUCUAAAAUAAAUGUGUGAAAAUUUUAAGCUUCGAUUUAGUAAAUUUCAUGUGAAUUUAGUCAAUAGGGCUUAUGUGUGACAUUUUUGAAAUGUGAUAGAUCAAAACAUAAGGACCUAUUAGUGCAUGUUGAAAAAGGGGGGACUUGCAUGUCAAUUUUCCCCCCCAUCUAGUAGUGGCCGGCCAUGACAUUAGGAUGGACAAAGGGUGAUGGGCAAAACAUGUCAUAGACAUGUUGUGUUGGUGCAUCAUGGGAGGAAACAAUAAAAUAAAGAGCAUGGGCAAUAAAAUAUUAGUGUUAGUAGGAUGAGAAACAAAAAAAAAAGAAAGGAUAUGUGUGAUUGUCCCCCCCCCUUGCCGUGAGUUGAAGGAAAGAAAAAAAAAAAGGUGUUCAUCCUUUGGUUCAUCAUUGGCCGAAAAUUUUAAGGAGGAAGGAAGAAGAAAGAUUGAAGAGGUUCGGCCAUGCAUGUAACUAGGCUAAGGUAUGUUUGAUGAUGUUCCAUGAGAUGCAUGCAUGUUUUAGUUGUUAGCUUGAGUUCUACCUAGCCCAUGGUCUAAAUCUUGCUAUGUGAUGGAAAUGACACUCGGCCAUGGAUGCAUCAUUCUUGCUUGGUGUUGAUGUUGUGUUGGUGAGAUAUCAAGUUAUUUUUGUGACCAAGUUGAGAUUUGAAUUUUUGGAAUGAGUAAGACUUUCGGUUAUGUUGUUUUGUAUGAGUAAUGGAUUGUUGAGUUCAUGCUAUUAUGAAUAAAAUUGAUUAAGAGAGGCUUGAGAUAAGUAAAUAUGCAUGUUGGUGGUAAGAUGAGCAUUCGGUUUUUAUCAUGGAAGCAUAGGAAGCUUGUUAAAGUUGAAUUUUAGAAAAGUUAAAUGUGUGUGUGCUUGUGCUAGUGCUGAAUGUGCCUAGGGUGAUUUAGCAUUGAGUUUGGUGUUAUAUGAAUUGAGUUUUAUGGUUUUGGAUUUUUAAGUGUUGUUAAAUACUUUGAAUAAUAUAUAUAUGUGGCUUUGAAAUGUGAAACUCGGCCAAGUGGUUAUAAGCAUGAUUUUAGAGAUUCAAUGAUAUUCGGCCGAUUUGAAUAAUUCAUGGCACCCCAAGCAAAUUAGUUUUAGAUGUUAAUAAAUAUUGAAAUUAUUUAAAAGCAUAUUACCGAAUGUGAUUUUAGUCAAUGAUUCGGUUAUGAGUGCUGAUUUGUUUUAUAAUUAGCCGAAUGUGUAUAUGUAUACUAUGAGGUGGUUUAGCUUAAAGAAAAUUAAGGUGCUCGGAAGGUGAUCGUCGUGGAUAGUUUAAGUAAUGAAAUUUAAUUUCUGUUAUGUAAAGUGAUGACAUUGCUGUUUGCAAAUUUGAAGUUAAAAAUUGUUGAUUGAGCAUCAAGAGCUUAUGGAAACAAAGUCAGAUCGUGGAAAAAGGGAAAUUGGUCGAAUAGUCAGAAUUGACGUACAUUAGCGAUCGAGGUAAGUUUUAAGUAUUAAAGCCUAUAAUGUGAUUGAGUAUGAUAUGUUAAGCACAUAUUAAAAGAAUCAUAACUCUAUUGUAAAUUUUUAUGCAUAUAGCCUAAUGGCUAUUAUGAAGUAUAGGUAAGUUAUUGAUAUGAUAUGUUGCCAAAUGGAUAUGAUAUUAUGAAGUGCUAAAAGGAUAUGUCAGAAGAGUAAAAUUGUGAUAAACCUGCUAAGGACAGCAGCAGUAACAUGAAUUUAGAAAAUCACCGUAAAUUGUUGGGGUUGAAUGGGAGGCUGAAUAAAUUUUAAAAUUAAAGCUUAAUGAGUCUAGUUUCUUAUAAAAGAAACCGUGUAAGAAAAUUUAUUUCCGAUAAUGAGAUAUUUAAAGUUGUGUGAGACAGUGCAGAAUGACACUGUAAUCCUCUGUUCUGUUUUUAGAAAAUCAUUAUAAAUUGUACAAAAAUGGUUAUAAGAUAAAAUUUAUAUGCUUAGACUCCUUAAUGAGUCUAGUUUCAAAUGAAAUCAAAUACAACACAUUUUGAAUUCUGUAAAAUGAGAAAUCUGAUUCGUAGUGAAGAGUGGUCAGAUUAGUCAAAUAGUGAAACAGGGGAAACUUUAAGAAAAAUCUGGUAUUGAUUGGCCAAACCUAAAAUUCUGGAAAUUUUAUGGAUGGAAUAUAUACGAGUAUAUAUUCAGGAAAAAUUAACGGAAAGUGAUUUGGAGUUUUGUAGCUCCAGUUAUAAAUGAUUUAGUGACUAUUGCUCAGGAAAAACAGCUUGUGCUGAAUUUGAGAUUGUGUUGUAAACCUUGAUAAACUUGUUCUAGUUGUUUAUAAGCUAUUGAUUAAACCCAUACAUGAAUUCUAAAUUGUGAUAUUGGAAAAUGAUAGAUGUAGAUUCAGCCAAGAUAGUGUAUAUAUGUGAUAAGGCCUAAUGGCCGAUGUGAUGAAUGUGAAAGUGUAUAUGUGUGAUAAGGCCUAAUGGCCGAUGUGAUGAAUGUGAAAGUGUAUAUAUGUGAUAUGGCCUAAUAGCCGAUGUGAUGAAUGUGAAAGUGUAUAUAUGUGAUAAGGCCUAAUGGCCGAUGUGACGAAUGUGAAAGUGUAUAUGUGUGAUAAGGCGUAAUGGCCGAUGUGAUGAAUGUGAAAGUGUAUAUAUGUGAUAAGGCCUAAUAGCCGAUGUGAUGAAUGUGAAAGUGUAUAUAUGUGAUAAGGCCUAAUGGCCGAUGUGAUGAAUGUGAAACUGUAUAUGUGUGAUAAGGCCUAAUAGCCGAUGUGAUGAAUGUGAAAGUGUAUAUAUGUAAUAAGGCCUAAUGACCGAUGUGAUGAAUGUGAAAGUGUAUAUAUGUGAUAAGGCCUAAUGGCCGAUGUGAUGAAUGUGAAAGUGUAUAUAUGUGACAGGGCCGAGUGGCCAACGUGAUGGAUGUGAAAGUGCAUAAAUGUGAUAAGUCCCGAAGGGCAUUUGUGUCAAUACUAUAUCCGGGUUAAAACCCCGCAGGCUUUAUGCGAGAAUAUUAUCACUGAUUAAUGUCCGUAAGCUUUGUGCUCGUACUAUAUCCGAGCUCUAAAGACC